GCUACCAUGCAGUCGACGAUGAACCACUUCGGUGGGGAUUAGUGGCGAACGGGUGAGUAACACGUGGGCAAUCUGCCCUGCACUCUGGGACAAGCCCUGGAAACGGGGUCUAAUACCGGAUACUGAUCCUCGCAGGCAUCUGCGAGGUUCGAAAGCUCCGGCGGUGCAGGAUGAGCCCGCGGCCUAUCAGCUAGUUGGUGAGGUAACGGCUCACCAAGGCGACGACGGGUAGCCGGCCUGAGAGGGCGACCGGCCACACUGGGACUGAGACACGGCCCAGACUCCUACGGGAGGCAGCAGUGGGGAAUAUUGCACAAUGGGCGAAAGCCUGAUGCAGCGACGCCGCGUGAGGGAUGACGGCCUUCGGGUUGUAAACCUCUUUCAGCAGGGAAGAAGCGAAAGUGACGGUACCUGCAGAAGAAGCGCCGGCUAACUACGUGCCAGCAGCCGCGGUAAUACGUAGGGCGCAAGCGUUGUCCGGAAUUAUUGGGCGUAAAGAGCUCGUAGGCGGCUUGUCACGUCGGUUGUGAAAGCCCGGGGCUUAACCCCGGGUCUGCAGUCGAUACGGGCAGGCUAGAGUUCGGUAGGGGAGAUCGGAAUUCCUGGUGUAGCGGUGAAAUGCGCAGAUAUCAGGAGGAACACCGGUGGCGAAGGCGGAUCUCUGGGCCGAUACUGACGCUGAGGAGCGAAAGCGUGGGGAGCGAACAGGAUUAGAUACCCUGGUAGUCCACGCCGUAAACGGUGGGCACUAGGUGUGGGCAACAUUCCACGUUGUCCGUGCCGCAGCUAACGCAUUAAGUGCCCCGCCUGGGGAGUACGGCCGCAAGGCUAAAACUCAAAGGAAUUGACGGGGGCCCGCACAAGCGGCGGAGCAUGUGGCUUAAUUCGACGCAACGCGAAGAACCUUACCAAGGCUUGACAUACACCGGAAAACCCUGGAGACAGGGUCCCCCUUGUGGUCGGUGUACAGGUGGUGCAUGGCUGUCGUCAGCUCGUGUCUUGAGAUGUUGGGUUAAGUCCCGCAACGAGCGCAACCCUUGUCCCGUGUUGCCAGCAGGCCCUUGUGGUGCUGGGGACUCACGGGAGACCGCCGGGGUCAACUCGGAGGAAGGUGGGGACGACGUCAAGUCAUCAUGCCCCUUAUGUCUUGGGCUGCACACGUGCUACAAUGGCCGGUACAAUGAGCUGCGAUACCGCGAGGUGGAGCGAAUCUCAAAAAGCCGGUCUCAGUUCGGAUUGGGGUCUGCAACUCGACCCCAUGAAGUCGGAGUCGCUAGUAAUCGCAGAUCAGCAUUGCUGCGGUGAAUACGUUCCCGGGCCUUGUACACACCGCCCGUCACGUCACGAAAGUCGGUAACACCCGAAGCCGGUGGCCCAACCCCUUGUGGGAGGGAGC
rnacentral:rRNA from 1 species